rnacentral:ncRNA from 1 species
UUAUCUUUUAUUUUGUGAUAGUGUUAUUUUAUCUUUGGGGGAAAUAUAUAAAUUGUAUUAUGUUUUUUAAUUUAUGAAUUUUGACAAUGAUGUAUUUUAUUAAGUUCCGAAGAUUUCGUUGUGGUAAAUACUAGUGCCAGUAAUCACGGUUAUACUAGAGUGGCUGAGAAUAAAUAAGUUUGUGUGGUUUAAUUGUGGUUUAUAUGGGUAUAAUUAGUUAAUAAGACCAGAAAUAGAUAUAGCUAAGUGUGAGAAUUGGAUUAGGUACCCAAGUAUCGGUUUAUAUAUUUAUGUAGUAUUAUUAUAAAGAAGAAAUUGAAAAAUUAGGCGGUUCAUUAAAUAUAGGGGAGUUUGAGAUUUUACUGAUGCUCCUCGUUAUAUUUUGUUUAAUUGAGAUUUUGUGUAUGUCCGUUUAUACGAUUAUAUAAUGUAUUUAGUUGUGAUUUUAGGUCGCCAUGCAUUUGGUUAAGAAUUAUUGAGCUACAAUAUUAAAUGAGGUUUGGAUCAAGAAUUGUGAUUUGUGUGAAAGUGGACUUAUUAGUAAGUAUAAGUUAAAAGUUUGUACUGAAAGUUUUAUUGGUGAGAGUACUAACCGCCCGCCACCAAAAAUGUAAGUUUUUGUAAGGCGUAACAAGGUAGCUUCUCUAGAAAGAGAAGCUGGAUGUAGUGAUA